CACGGAGACUAUUCCGGGAAGAAGAGGGGUACUUGGUGGGCGGGGUAAUUUCGGGCAGUCAGGUGGGCGACCCGCGUAGGCGUCUGAAAGGCCCGCGUCGUUAGGGAGGGCAGGAGCGGCGUCUCUGGUUACUGGAUCGGGCAAAGGGCAGAGGUCAGAGUCCAGGUUGGACAGCAGCACCUUUGAGCGAUGGCGGCGUCUGGGGAACCCCGGAAGCAGUGGCAGGAGGAGGUGGCGGCGGUGGUAGUGGUGGGCUCCUGCAUGACCGACCUAGUCAGUCUUACUCCUCGUUUGCCAAAACCUGGAGAAACCAUCCAUGGACAUAAGUUUUUUAUUGGCUUUGGAGGGAAAGGUGCCAACCAGUGUGUCCAAGCUGCUCGGCUUGGAGCAAAGACAUCCAUGGUGUGUAAGGUUGGCAAAGAUUCUUUUGGCAAUGAUUAUAUAGAAAACUUAAAACAGAAUGAUAUUUCUACAGAAUUUACAUAUCAGACUAAAGAUGCUGCUACAGGAACUGCUUCUAUAAUUGUCAAUAAUGAAGGCCAGAAUAUCAUCGUCAUAGUGGCUGGAGCAAAUUUACUUUUGAAUACGGAGGACCUGAGGGCAGCUGCCAAUAUCAUUAGCAGAGCCAAAGUCAUGGUCUGCCAGCUUGAAAUAACUCCAGCGACUUCUUUGGAAGCCCUAACAAUGGCCCGCAGGAGUGGAGUGAAAACAUUGUUCAAUCCAGCCCCUGCCAUUGCUGACCUGGAUCCCCGGUUCUACACUCUCUCGAAUGUGUUCUGCUGCAAUGAAAGUGAGGCUGAGAUUUUAACUGGCCUCACAGUGGGCAGUGCUGCAGAUGCUGGGGAGGCUGCAUUAGUGCUCUUGAAAAGGGGCUGCCAGGUGGUAAUCGUUACCUUAGGCGCUGAGGGAUGUGUGGUGCUGUCACAGACAGAACCUGAACCAAAGCACAUUCCCACGGAGAAAGUCAAGGCUGUGGAUACCACGGGUACCAGGUAGCAUAAACCAGGAGCUGUAUCACCCACCAUUAAGCAGAGUGGAUAUUGUCUUGGCUCUGUACAUUAGUAAAGCGGACACAUGUCUCACCAUGAUGCAACUCCAGCUUCUUUCUGCCAGGUGUAGACCUGGCUCAAGACCCAAGAGUGAAGCAGCAAGUGUGAAGAACCAGAAACAUUAUAAAUAACCAAGAGAAUCCUCUUAUAACAGCAACUGCCUACUGAUUUUGUGGCCUAACAGCUCAAGCAAAAACGAAUAUAAAUACAGUAUUGUGCAAUGACUAGUUACUCAAAAUUUUGUGCAUCAGCAGAAGUGGAACCUGUGGUUGGUGCUAAUAUUAUCAAAUGCCUUUGCUGUUUAAUAAUCUGGUAGCUGUAUAUUAUUUAGCAUGCAAUUUUCAUGGAGAACAAUGAUUUAAUUUCAAGUACGUCUCACUGAAAUGAAAAAACAGCUGUUAGAAGAUGAACAUUUCACAGAAAAUAUUUUAGUGAAUCUUUUGUAAGAUACUAAGUCCUGUUGGAUUAACUGUUUUCUGUCCAGAAUAAUAGAGUCACAAAGAAAACGGAUUGCUGACCACAAAAGGCAAGGCCAGUCUUUAGAACUCGUGAAUCACUAACAGACAUUUUAGUUUUAAUUGCCAUUUAUUCACCAAUAUAUAUAUACAAAGCUUUCAUUAAUACUGCCUGAAGAAUGGGCCCUUUUUAAUUCCAUUUUUAGCUCGCACUCAGGAUUCCACUUCUCUUUCAUUAAUGUGGAAUUCUUUAAAUUAUAGAAUAAAUUAAUCCACUGCAGACAUUUUGGGCAGAAUGGGGUUUUCAGCAACUGUUCAGCCUCCACAGGCCCUUCUUCUCAGCAGCUCAUCAGCCAGCAGAGCAGUGAGGGCCCCAUCUGGGAGCGGCACCUUUCCCUGAACUUGAAGAAAGUCUAGAGCAGCCCACUGGGCUCCUGGUCUGAACCCACUCUCAGGGUGACAGUGUCCUUCACAUGUUCCUCAGGCUGGCCAACCUCUGGCCAAGCAAGGGGUAUGCCAGUGGGUAAGCUACAUCACGAUAUGGCUGCUGGGCACAGCCAGUUUUCAGCCAAAGAACAUGAUGGUUGAGCUAUGUUAAUGUAGCCAUAUUGACUCAGGGACAAUUUUUACAUUAUUAUCAGAAAAACGUAAAAUGUUCUUUUUUAAAUUAUCAAGAAAUGUGAAAAAAACAAAGAACUUCAUCUUAUCUCCAGUUCCCAUUCCUGGGGUGAAGUGGGUGAUAGAUAAAGAUUAAAAAUGGAAGAGUUUUCAGAGAUGGCUGAAGAUUGCCUAUAGGGUGAGGCUCAGGCUUGGUCUGAGGGUGGAAUGAGGUCUAGAAAAGGGAAAGGAUCAGGCAUGUCUGUUCCGUAUAUUAUUUGGUAAUACAAGAGUGUAUAUCUACAUUUUCUACAUGGUAAUUUUGAUGCAAAUUUUAUCUUAAAACAGCUUCAUCAAAAUGCCCCACUUCAGUCCUAGCCUGAGUAGCCAGCCCAGAGCCCAUCACAAACUAACAAAGUUGAGAAUGGACCCUGAGACACGGUCAGGCCCCAGAUGGAGCCAGCCAGUGUCCUCUGUCAAUAUGAACGGAUCGCUGACUUGGAUUGGGAGCCAUUUGUCACCAGUAGUAGGGCCAGAUCUCUCCAUGGCACCAAAUGAGGUAGGUUGAGCACCACAACCAAGCACCUCAACCUGUGUGAAGGCCGAGAUGGCCAAGACACACUGUCUCAGGCAGGGGAUUUCUUUUGUCUUUGACUCAAUUUUAGAUGGAAUCCAAGUAAUGCAGUUAUGAUCAUCUGUACUCAUUCUUACAAAUGGUUACUAAAUACUUGCAGGGUACCAAUAAAAGAAGAAUAUGGCAGUCCUGGGAUGAA